rnacentral:rRNA from 1 species
AUUGAACGCUGGCGGCAUGCUUUACACAUGCAAGUCGAACGGCAGCGCGCGCUUGGGUGUUGCCGCGAGGGGCGCACGGGAGUGUAAUACAGGGGAACAUCCCGAGGAGGGGGGUAUAGCCGCGCGAAAUGCGGAUUAAUACCACAUACGACCAGGGUGUGAGAGGGGGGGAGCGAAAGGCCGUUUGCUAUUGGAGCGUUCGAUCGCCGGAUGUCGGAUUAGCUAGUUGGUGGGGUAAAGGCCUACCAAGGCGACGAUCCGUAGCUGGUCUGAGAGGACGACCAGCCACACUGGGACUGAGACACGGCCCAGACUCCUACGGGAGGCAGCAGUGGGGAAUUUUGGACAAUGGGGGCAAGCCUGAUCCAGCAAUGCCGCGUGCGGGAAGAAGGCCUUCGGGUUGUAAACCGCUUUUGUUAGGGACGAAACGCUCUGGGCUAAUACCGCGGGGGGAUGACGGUACCGGAAGAAUAAGCACCGGCUAACUACGUG